rnacentral:rRNA from 1 species
CCCUUAGAUGUCCUGGGCCGCACGCGCGUUACACUGAUGCAUUCGACGAGCUUAUAACCUUGGCCGAGAGGCCUGGGCAAUCUUGUUAACGUGCAUCGUGAUAGGGAUAGAUUAUUGAAAUUAUUAAUCUUGAACGAGGAAUUCCUAGUAAACGCAGAUCAUCAAUCUGCAUUGAUUACGUCCCUGCCCUUUGUACACACCGCCCGUCGCACCUACCGAUUGGAUGGUCCGGUGAAGCCUCGGGAUUGUGGUUCUUGCCGCUUUAUUGUGGCGUGACCGCGAGAACUUGUCUAAACCUUAUCAUCUAGAGGAAGGAGAAGUCGUAACA